rnacentral:rRNA from 1 species
UACAGAGGGUGCAAGCGUUGUUCGGAAUUAUUGGGCGUAAAGCGCGUGUAGGCGGGAUGGCAAGUCGGGUGUGAAAGCCCUUAGCUCAACUGAGGAAGUGCGCCCGAAACUACCGUUCUUGAGUGUCGGAGAGGGUGGCGGAAUUCCCGGUGUAGAGGUGAAAUGCGCAGAUAUCAGGAGGAACACCGGUGGCGAAGGCGGGUCUCUGGGCCGUAACUGACGCUGGAGGAGCGAAAGCGUGGGGAGCGAACAGG